GUAUACAAUCUGCCUUUCACUGGGGGAUAGCCCGAAGAAAUUUGGAUUAAUACCCCAUAGUAUAUAGGGACGGCAUCGUUUUUAUAUUAAAGCUACGGUGGUGAAAGAUGAGUAUGCGUUCUAUUAGCUAGUUGGAGAGGUAACGGCUCCCCAAGGCGAUGAUAGAUAGGGGUUCUGAGAGGGAUGUCCCCCACACUGGUACUGAGAUACGGACCAGACUCCUACGGGAGGCAGCAGUGAGGAAUAUUGGUCAAUGGGCGAGAGCCUGAACCAGCCAAGUCGCGUGAAGGAUGACUGUCUUAUGGAUUGUAAACUUCUUUUAUACGGGAAUAACAAGAGUCACGUGUGGCUCCCUGCAUGUACCGUAUGAAUAAGCAUCGGCUAACUCCGUGCCAGCAGCCGCGGUAAUACGGAGGAUGCGAGCGUUAUCCGGAUUUAUUGGGUUUAAAGGGUGCGUAGGCGGCCUGUUAAGUCAGCGGUGAAAUCUAGGAGCUUAACUCCUAAAUUGCCAUUGAUACUGGCGGGCUUGAGUGUAGAUGAGGUAGGCGGAAUGCGUGGUGUAGCGGUGGAAUGCAUAGAUAUCACGCAGAACUCCGAUUGCGAAGGCAGCUUACUAAGGUACAACUGACGCUGAAGCACGAAAGCGUGGGUAUCAAACAGGAUUAGAUACCCUGGUAGUCCACGCAGUAAACGAUGAUAACUGGGCGUAUGCGAUAUACAGUAUGCUCCUAAGCGAAAGCGUUAAGUUAUCCACCUGGGGAGUACGCCGGCAACGGUGAAACUCAAAGGAAUUGACGGGGGCCCGCACAAGCGGAGGAACAUGUGGUUUAAUUCGAUGAUACGCGAGGAACCUUACCCGGGCUUGAAUUGCAGAGGAAGGAUUUAGAGAUAAUGACGCCCUUCGGGGUCUCUGUGAAGGUGCUGCAUGGUUGUCGUCAGCUCGUGCCGUGAGGUGUCGGCUUAAGUGCCAUAACGAGCGCAACCCCUCUCUUCAGUUGCCAUCAGGUCAUGCUGGGCACUCUGGAGACACUGCCACCGUAAGGUGUGAGGAAGGUGGGGAUGACGUCAAAUCAGCACGGCCCUUACGUCCGGGGCUACACACGUGUUACAAUGGGGGGUACAGAAGGUCGCUACCUGGUGACAGGAUGCUAAUCUCAAAAACCUCUCUCAGUUCGGAUCGGAGUCUGCAACUCGACUCCGUGAAGCUGGAUUCGCUAGUAAU
rnacentral:rRNA from 1 species